CCCUAGAGAUAGGGCCCUCCCCUUCGGGGGCAGAGUGACAGGUGUCGCAUGGUUGUCGUCAGCUCGUGUCGUGAGAUGUUGGGUUAAGUCCCGCAACGAGCGCAACCCUUGAUCUUAGUUGCCAGCAUUCAGUUGGGCACUCUAAGGUGACUGCCGGUGACAAACCGGAGGAAGGUGGGGAUGACGUCAAAUCAUCAUGCCCCUUAUGACCUGGGCUACACACGUGCUACAAUGGGCAGAACAAAGGGCAGCGAAGCCGCGAGGCUAAGCCAAUCCCACAAAUCUGUUCUCAGUUCGGAUCGCAGUCUGCAACUCGACUGCGUGAAGCUGGAAUCGCUAGUAAUCGCGGAUCAGCAUGCCGCGGUGAAUACGUUCCCGGGCCUUGUACACACCGCCCGUCACACCACGAGAGUUUGUAACACCCGAAGUCGGUGAGGUAACCUUUUGGAGCCAGCCGCC
rnacentral:rRNA from 1 species